rnacentral:rRNA from 1 species
UAAGGAAUACUGGUCAAUGGACGCAAGUCUGAACCAGCCAUGCCGCGUGGAGGAUUAAGGCCCUCUGGGUUGUAAACUCCUUUUAUCUGGGAAGAAAUGUACUUUUUCUUGAGUACUUGACGGUACCAGAGGAAUAAGCACCGGCUAACUCCGUGCCAGCAGCCGCGGUAAUACGGAGGGUGCAAGCGUUAUCCGGAUUCACUGGGUUUAAAGGGUGCGUAGGUGGGCAGGUAAGUCAGUGGUGAAAUCUUCCGGCUUAACCGGGGAACUGCCGUUGGUACUAUUUGUCUUGAAUAUUGCGGAGGUAAGCGGAAUAUGUCAUGUAGCGGUGAAAUGCUUAGAUAUGACAUAGAACACCAAUUGCGAAGGCAGCUUACUACACAAUCAUUGACACUGAGGCACGAAAGCGUGGGUAGCGAACA